rnacentral:lncRNA from 1 species
GCCAAAUUUUUCAACAAAUGAUUUCUUCUAAACCAAUAAUCGGAGGAGUAAGACCCCCGCUCAGUCAGGUGAGGUGACACCACAGGUAAGGAUGUGGUUUGUGGUGAUCUUUAUCCGUUUUCUGGCUUUGUAAACCACCAGAGUCAUGUGUCAUUCAUUCACAUUACCACAUUUACAACCACCCGCCUCUAAUUUCCCAACCCCCCCUGCUGCUCUUACACUAACAAUACAUAAUCUUCAUGUGUCAGUGUGUCAGACACUCAAAAUGAAAAUACAGAGGGUGGUAUUUAUGCCUUCAUCACACCUCUUGGAUAUGUUUUUUUCUCAGGCUCUAUCAAAGAGCAGCCAGUCACCUCAGCCGUAUAAAUCACCCUCAAGCUGCACUUUGUGAAAACAUGCCGAUUAAGUUUGUGCAGCACAGUUGGCCGUGAAGGCAGUAAAUUUCCCUGGUAACAGAGUUAACAUUGAUUCAGAUAUAAGCACUUGUCCGUGUGUAACAACGAUAACCUUUUAGUAGAUUUGGAAAACAUAUUUGACACCCAUUAAAAUAACGAAUGAUUUCCCUCCUCCCCAGAGGAAGGCUGAGAAGGUGUGUUUAGACAGGAGGGGGGUUAACACGCUGUGACUCUAUGGCAGCCCGGAGUCCAGCUGCAGCCCUGGAUAGAAAGCACAGAGCAAACUGCACAUUAAAUCACGAAUUUGAAAAAUGAUGUUGGUAUUAGACAGCAUUAGGAAGCAAUAAACUGGACGACAUUGAACAAAUACGAACCAAUGUUUUCAUAUAAAACAUAUUAUGUUAACACACAUCUGCUUCUCUGUUUUUGAUUGAUGGAGCCCAAAAAUGAUUUAACAUUUAGUCACCCCAACCCUACAUUUCUUGAUUUUUCCUCUGCGUUUCAUACAACUUGUCUGAAAUAAACUAAAAAUAAAACAUUUCUAUAAAAUUGAUAGCAACCUACAAACAAAGAACAAAUCAAGGACUCAAAGUAUGUGCUGACAACACACAUGAAGCAAGUGUUCAGUAAAAAAAAGCAAAGCAACCUCUUAACAUUAUUUCUUCAAAACCCACAAGUUGCCCCUUGAAAAUUGAGGCCUUGACACUUGUCUAUCACAACAUCUGUGUCUCAGUCAAGGUAAUGAAAAAAUGAUUCUAAUAUUCUUUUGUAUUCACAAACCAAUAACAGCUAGCUUUCUAUGAGCAUGACAUUAAUCUCAUGAAAAGAAAUAAAAUGUUACUUUUAGUUGUCAGCUCAUGCUAGCUCACUUUAGCUAGCAGGUUAGCAUCCUCUCCUUUUGUAGCUAGAAUGAGUCAAAUUACCUUUGUACAGUUUUACAACUAACGGCAGGUCUUUUGACGUUACCAUGUAAUAUCUAUUAGGUCAUGAAGACAAUAACAUACAGAUAGUGUGAUACUUUUUUAAUAUUCUGAGGUAUGAACUAACUCACAGCAGCUAACUAGCUAGCUACCUGUUAGCAUUCACCUCACAAACCUUGUUAGCUUAUGUUUGGAACUAGCUUAUUCGUGACUAACACCAGCUAGUUUUAUCCUGGUGGGCAUUAUACACUCUUUUAGACAUUAAAGGUGGGGUAGGCAGGAUCUGAAAAAGUGCCAGUUUUUGGGUGAAGUCUUUAAUGUAAACUCUACCCCUCCCAACCAGUUCUCCCUUUAGCUCCUCCUCUCCCCUCCCUUUCUGUUCCAGCAAGCCCCGCCCACAAACAGACGCCCCCGCUGGCUCGUAUCGUUUCAGUUAAAUUCAGAUAUAAUGCAGAUAAAUACUUAGAAUAAUUACCAAUGGGGCCCAGUCAACAUUAAAGUAAAAAGCAUUCGUGCUACUGUAGAUGCCAACAGACUACCAGCAAACACAAUGUUUGCAGGACUUCUAAAACUAGGAUAAAGUUACAUACUCCAGGACCCGAGAUGAACAGUUUAGCGGCACUACAACACGCAGCAGGUCCCGUUUGAUGAGAAACACUUCUGUUACAGACACUUGGCUUACUUUGUUAAAGCGGUUUACCUGUCCAGCAGAAAGGUUACAGGGUCCUGAAGUGUCCCCCAUCGUUUAUGUUGACCCGGCUUUUUAGCUCUUGUCCAGUCUACCUUCUUUUUGAGCGCCCGUUAUUCCACUAGAGUCUCCAGUAUUUACUUUGUUUUCUUGCUUGUGUUGGCAGUCAUGGGCAAAGAAGGAUUCAGACAAUUUUCUGUACUUUCUGGUUGGUUUCUACUGUCCGAUAUUGUAGCAUGCUAACUUUGUUUAGUCUCAUGAACGACAUGGGGAGCAGCAUCAGCCCCACAACCAACCAGCUUGGGGAAGGCGGAGAAUGGCUUUGUUUACAGUCAGAAAGAGCGGGCCACUCAAAAAAUUUAAAAUGCUGACUACACAGAUAUGACAGAACACAGCAACUUAAUUAUAUUACCAAAUGUCAUCAAUAACUAAUAGCUAUUGACUGAUAUUAAAAGCUUUUUUGUGUAUACACCACAAAAAAUGAUACAUCUUUAACAGAAUCCUGUCUACCCCACCUUUAAAUCAUUGACAAUAAGGCCUAGCUACAUUUAUGUAGAAUACCACUUUACAAUAAAAUAGGAAAAAAUCCAAUCUUGCCACUUCCGCUCACAAACUUUCUCUCUACAUCAUAAAUAGGGUAAUUUUUUUUUUUUACUUAAAAUACAAAAAUCAAUCAAAUAUAUUUUCAUUUAACAUAUUUUAAAAAGGCUAUUUUUAGCAGGAUUCAAAAUGUGCAGAGAGUUACUCAAGGCUGUUUUUAUACAUGCUGUUUCUACAGUUCUGGUAAUUACCUUUGAAAAAACAUUAAAAACACCCACCCACAGCUUUAAAUUAAACUGUGUCUGCUUAAAUAAACCCCUGAUUAACAGGAUAAAUCACCGGAACAAUUUACACUUCAUGGGUUAAAUUAGAUACACCUGAGUUUCAUGUCUCUACUUGGCAGAGCUUUUAUGUGUUGGGUAUGUACAGACUGUGAAUACUGUGUCGAAGCUGACGUGUUCAAAUGUCUUUAAAUAAUUUCUAAGCAGAGAAAUCAUUGAAACUUUAGCGUCAGAUAGUUUCCAUUUUAAGUGCAUACAUAAGAGAGUAUGUACGCGUGUCCGUUCUUUUAGAGCCGAUUUAUUCAGGAAUGUAUUUUCAUAAUGCCACGUUCAGGUUAGAUUCGACUUCAAUGGGUUUUGACAAGAAAAGCUCAUAGUCUUGAAUUUGUAAAAGUAUCAAAGAACAAAAGAAAGAACAAGUAUGCCUCUCUUAUUUUUUCUCUCCCAAAAAGCAGGAACACAUGUCAGUCGGUUGUGUGUUCUUCCCGAGGUAAAAUAUUUUUCCUAGCAAAAGCACCAAAGUGACAACUCCAUCACUGAAAGUAGUUUGUCCUCUGCAGUUCAGUGAAAAUAUUAUGAGAAGCCAGAAGAAGCAGAAAUAAGAAGGAGGGGGCUGGGAUGAGUGACGGACAGCUUUGACACACCGGAGUACUUAGACAAUUACUAACAGUUUCUGCCAGUCACCACAUCUGACACAACACAAACACGGCGAGGAUAAUUUUACAUUACACUGCCGGGCACGGGUCACUUUAAAGGAACACAGGGAAGCCCGUUUCAGCUUGCAUUUCAAGGCCAAUCAUCUAAAUUGGCCCCACAACACAACCGGCUGCCUGAGACCGGUUCUCUCUCUCCCUCUCUGCCGACCAUACAACUCCCAGAGCAGAUGAUAACCAUGAAAACAAGAGCAGAUCUUUGAAGUGCAGCUGUCAGUCAACAUGCUUCCAGAGUGGGAACUGUGGGGGUAAAAUGGUGUACAGGUGUGGGAGCAGACGCAGUUGGACCCCACCAGGUCAAGCAGAUACAGAGAGGAGGAGGAGGAGGGUGGAGGCUGUUCUGGUGAGAACUAGCCUUGUUGAGAAAAGAGUAGCCCAGAAAUGAAAAAAAACUGAACUUUUUUAGUUAAUUGAAGCUGCAUAUCCACAAAAAUCGUCAGUUGACUUUUUCAGAAAGCUUUGAGUUCACAAGUUGAGUCGGUCUGAUGACGCUUGAUCACAGGGGGCGCCAAAAUCCAACUAUCUAAGAAGCCCUUACAGGAGCUUUGAGAGAACCAGAGUAUAAUGUGAUGAGAAUAUGAUGUGUUGGUUUGACCCCGUCCACAUCAUUGUAUUAUUGAUGUAUCAUCAUUUUAUGCAUUGUUAUACAUUCAUGUUUAUAUAUACCUCUUGAAGUUCUGCUGACAAACUCGGCUGACUAACUGGAUGAAGUGAGGUGGAUAAGUCACAUAUGCUAAUUCUAAUAUUAAGGUUUGGAUGAGCUUAAAAGAAAAUACUGACAUAUUUUCAUCUCUCAUUAAUUCACUGCCUCGCAUCCACCGAUGAAUACAACAUGUCAUAAAAUAACGCACUUCAAAGAGUGUUUGCUUUCCACUGCUAACGGCCCCUCAUUCAGUUUGAGCCUACAUCAAACGUCCAAUUGACAGACAUCCUUGUCAUUUCAUCAUUGGCAAUUCACCAGUGUCCACUUUCUGCUGGGAAACGAUUUCCUUUUAUUUUCAGACAACAGCUUUAAUAACAGGCUGCCAGCCUUCAAAAAGUCGACUUUGAAUUAAUCAGUGCAACAGAAAAACUAUCAUUUUUCUGAGGUACGUUUUUACCUGUUACAAGCAGAUGAGAUGCUCAGUCUAUACUCAAAAAUGGUACCUAUAGUUUUACAAACAUAUGGUGCAAGAUAUAGAUUCAGAAUGAUGGACAUGUGAGGCUGGUGCAUAUUGAGCAGCCUGAAAAUUAAAGAUAUCAAGAGGUCAAGUUGGGUGGUCCUGCAAAUGUGUUCACAUACUGAGCUGUUAGCCUCUAGUUAAUGACUGUUUUAAAAAGAAGAAGAGGGGAAGGGUCUGGAGGAAAAGAAACAAAUGCAGAUGGUAAUGGUUGUCUGACUUCCAGGUAACAUUAUGCCAAAAGUCUGCGUAUUAUGCUACACUGAAAGCCAUACAAACUUGAUGUUGGAGCUAGCUAAGGGGCCUAGACUAGCAACCUGAUGCUACACCCUUUGUUGUUCUAGUAGAUUAAACUAUGUCAGUCUGUGCCUGUUGAUAAUUUUUUUUGGAGAAUAAAUGAAAUUAGUUAAAGGUGAGGUAGGUAGGAUCUGAGGACGUGCCAGUUUUUGGGAGAAAUCUUGAUUGUAAACACUACCCCUCCCAACCAGUUUUCCCCUCAGCUCCUCCUCUCCCCUCCCUCUCUGUUCCAGGAAGCCCCACCCAUAAAACAAACGCUCCUGCUCACUCGUAUCGUUCCAAUUAAAUUCAGAUAUAAUGCAGAUAAAUACUUCAGAUAAUUACAAAUGGAGUCCAGUCAACAUGAAAGUAAAAAGCAUUGGUGCCACUGUAGAUGCCAACAGACUACCAGCAAACACAAUGUUUGCAGGACUUCUACAACUAGGAUAAAGUGUCAUACUCUAGGACCCGAGAUAAACAGUUUAGCAGCGCUACAACACACAGCAGGUCCUAUUUGACAAGAAACACUUCUGUUACACUUGGCUUACUUUAUUAAAGCGGUUUACCUGUCCAGCAGAAAGGUAACAGGGUUUGUAAGAUCCCAAAGCGUCUCCCUACAUUGUUGACCUGGCUUGUCCGGGUGGUCUACCAACUUUUUAAGCGCCCGUUAUUCAGGCAAAGUCUCUGGUAUUUACUUUGUUUUCUUGCUUGUUUUGGCAGUUUUGGCCAAAGGAGGAUUUAGACAAUUUUCUGUAUUUUCUGGUUGGUUUCUACUGUUCGAUAUUGUACCACGCUAACUUUGUUUGAGCUCGUGAACAACACAGGGGAGCAGCGUCUGCCUCACAACCAAUCAGUUUGGGGAAGGCGGGUAAUGGCUUUGUUUACAGUCAGAAAGAGCGGAGCACUCAAAAAAUGUUAAAUGUUGACUACACAGAUAUGACAGAACACAGCGAUAUCAUUAUAUUACCAAAUGUCAUCAAUAACUAAUCGCUAUUGACUGAUAUUAAAAGCUUUUUUGUAUAUACACCACAAAAAAAGAUGCUUCUUUAAUGGAUUCCUGCCUACCCCACCUCUAAGCAAUGCCAGAACUCAGUACACAACAGUAAAUUAAACUGAAGUAUUUUAGCUGAUAAAGCACAUUGGCAGUGAGGGUUCACAGUGGCUAACUGCUACAAAACAAAAGUGAUUUUUUUUUGUGCUUAAAAAAACACACACAAAAAAAAAACAGUAUUGUGUAGGAAUCAUUUUACUGAUAUCAUGAUAAGAUUUAUCAGGCUGUAGAUGCUUUAAUGAUGAAUUUAGUUAUCUGACCCAGGAUAUGUUACUAAAAGUUUUUAAACUAUGUGUUUGUAUGUCUGUAACGUUGUUGAAACCUGCUGCUGCUGUCUUGGCCAGCAGAUUUGUAAUCUCAAGGAGGUGUUCCUGGUUAAAUAGAAUUAAAUAAAUAAAAAGUAGUGUGAUCCAUUUUGAUCAAGCAGUAUUGUCGAACUGUAUUCAUUGAGGAAAGAUUUUCACAUUAGCAGCUUUACCGUAACACAAAGUUACUUAUUUUGUUUAUAAUAAUCAACAGAUGGAGAGGCCUCAUGCUAAAGGCAGCCUUGAGCACUCAUUUAUACUUUACAAAACUUUUUCUACCUGAUUCAGUUCUCUUUGUAUGAAGGUGGUCACUUCAAAAAUAAAAAAUAAAAUACGAGAAUCUGUAAGUGGACACAUUUGCAUACAAAAAUAAUGUAAUUUAUCAAAAACCUAGCAUUAGAAUUGAAUGAAAAAAAAAUAGAUAGGCAGAACUAAAUCAGUGGCACAUUUUUCAGUGUCAUGUUAUUAUUUUGUCUGGGUGUUUUCUCUAAUGUCUGGCACCCAACGCAAAAUCAAAAAAUCACUUUAACAUUUUAUACCGUUUUGUUUUUUUUUACAUUCCCUUGUGAGGAGCGAGUGGUUCCCAAGACAAAGUGACCCCUUUUCAUGACGCAUGUCUUUGACCUUAUUUCACCCUCAUGUGACUUCAAUGGCUCUAAAUUUGGAACAGCUCAAGUCACUUGUCAAACCUGACAAUACUGUCACUUUUGUUCACUCCAGCUUGGCCGUGCAUCCGGGCUAAUUGUUCCCCAGAUGUGAACAUCCACAGCCAUCUAAUCACACUCCAUUGUGAUGUCUGUGUCGGAGUCCAGGUUAAUCUGAACUGAGCGCAGAUUUCAAGAAAAAUCAAAAACAUCCUGAUUGGCUGACAGUCCUGGUUAGCUGUGUGAUUUCAGAGUGACUACGCCAUCUCCAAUGGACCUGGACCUCCUACUGAUGAGUGCUCGAUGGAAUUUUGUUUGAAAGACACUCCUUAGAGAUCUUACUCACAUGCACAGACACACACACAAACACACACACACACAUGCAAACACACAGACUAUCAGAGAGAGAAAAAGAGUCCAAACUCAUAACUGUCAGUGAUGGACAGGUUGAUGCAGCGACUUUUUGAAGUGACAGAAUGGACCAGGUUUCCGCUGCAGACCCCUUCUGAUUGUUUUGCAUUUUCUUCUUCUUGGCUGCGCUUAGAUGUUGGCUGGGAAAUCACAAUAUUUCUAUUGUUGAUAUUUUUACACAGUGUCUGUCUGGAUUGUUUGACUGGGCAAAUUAAUAGGUCUAAUGGUUUUAAUAAUUAGGAAAGCAGUGUUUUGUUUCAACAAGAGCUCUGCCAAACAGCUGAAAGCAGAGGUAAGAAGCAAUUCCCUCUCUGCGUAUACAUGCCAACACAUGAAAGUCAUUUAGCUGCACUUAACUGUCGAAAAACAAUUAGGGCAAAGCAUAACAACAUCUGCAUGCAGCACUUCUGUUACAUGUCUUCUGAAUCCUGCCUCUUGCCAGCAGAGCAAGUAUUGGCAAUCCUCAAAUGCAAGGUACACUUCAUGAAUUUUACAUUAUGCCUGAUCAUUACCAUAACGAUGCUAUCAAAGAUAUUAGGAGCCUUCAACGCUGUUUUCUCCUACACAGGGCGCUCUCUUAGAUCUGUUGUCAAGAAGGUGGGUAUUAUCUACCAUCAUCUAGCAUAUAGCAUGCAUGAGCCCCCACUCUUAAUGAGUGUGUAUGCAUGUCUGGGUGUACAAUAUGUAAAUCCUUGUGUUGAGUGAUCGAGAGGGGGGGGCGGGUGUGACACUGUCUGUGGGUGUGGGUACGUGAGCAAGCGUGUCAUAAAUUCUUAUAAAAGAGGCGGCAUUGUCUCCGCCGCCGUGUUGUCUGAUUUAUCUUCAUAUCAGUAAAUCCUUUGCUUGCUAAUACCAUGUUUCUUCUUCUGCUGUUUUGUCUACCAAAUGUGAGCCGCUUUUCUCUAUAUUUUACAUAGUAAAGAAAUAACUGUAUUUUUAAAAAGAUGUUACUAUAGAUUUGAUCCUACUUUGGUUGUAGGCUGAUCACUAAGUGCCCUCUCAAUGCCUGUGCAAUAAAAAAUAAGCAUAAAAUUAAUUUUGUAGAGGCCACACACUAAAAAACUUUGAGCGUGUGACAUGUUGGUUAGCUUAGAACUCUAUACACUGAAAAAAAAAAUCGAAGAUACAAACAGGCUAACCAUAAAACUAGAAACUGUAUGUUAACAUAAGGUGACCUGAUUUCUGUAAUGAAAUCUGGGGACAUCCUGAAACAUAUUUCUCAAGAGCCAUGACAGACAACAGACAACAUCUCGGUACUUCUUCCUAGCAGCACACGCACUCCAUUAAAAACUGUUGUGCUGGACUGCGCGCAACAUGCUUACUCGCGCCUCCUACCUACUCCGGUACCUUAAUAACCGUUGAUCUUGUCUACAUGCAACAUUUUUUUUUCACAAUCAUGAAACGCUUAAGUCAGGGACAUUUCGGGGAGAGCUUUAGCCAUAAAUCGGGGACGUCUGGUCACCUUAUGUUAACAUCGACAGACUACUCCUGGAUCCUUGUGGAGUCGCAGGAUCAGCAUCACACUUACACCACCUACAAAAACAAACCUUGAACUCAUGUUGAGGUCAGACAACAUGAUUAUAGCUCGAUUCAGGACUUACAGUUUUGGGACCUUUAAACCCAGACUAUAGCUGUGUGUUCUGUAAUGUCGGUGGCAUUGUCCAACGAAAACACGGAGCGCUAUGGGUGCGCAACAAACAACUGAAACGGCAAAGCAAGAAAGGAAUACUACACUUGGUGCUGGGAGAUUAAACCACGAGACACAGGAAACUUGUAUUAUUCCUUCCAAAACUAUAAGAUAUGUUUUGAUAGCAUUUACUCCUCCCGUAUAUUGGCCCAUACAGGACUUCACCAGUAUACAACACUUAGCUAACGCCACUCUUGACUUACUCUGAUUGCUACAGAUAACACGUAGCUUAACUAAUAUCUCUAAACCUUUGUAAUUAAUGUUUUCUUGGAUUUAAAUAAUCAUUACAGAAUUUUUUAAAAAUGUCUUAAAAUGCACGGUAUGUUGGAAACCAUGGAUAGCUGACAUUUAGCUCCGCUCUUUGCUAGCUCCACACUGUUGUUGUUCACUGUCAUUGCUUUGUUAUGUACCUGAAAUCAGAACUUCAUAACAGUCUGAAUCAGCAGUUACCAACAACAGCUAUGAUACUAAACGUUGUGUGGACUACAUUUUGAGAGAAGAAACAAGUCGGUUUAUUGAAUUGUGGUUGAGUAGCCCACUCCCUGUACUGCAAGUAGGCAAUAUCAGAGGCCUUUCAAUACUGUCAGAUUUGCAACGGCUCUAAGGUAAAAUGUAUUUCUGUCUGCUCACAUUUGAAGUGUGUGUAGGCAUAAAACAUUUAAAUUUAAUAUGAGAAGUGGGUGGUUUGACAGACGUCCAAUACGAGGUGGAGUAAUUAGCAUUCUCAUCUUGUGGUCCCAUCUCUCUCCUGCUAUUGUCUCUCCCUCUCUCCAUCAGCCCCUCUCCUCUUCCCUUUUCUUCCUGGGCGAUGUGACGUCCUCUGAAGCAGUAAAAUGAAGCCAGAUUCUGUGUUGUCCUUCCUCUGUCGCAGUGGCUCACAAACAGACUGUAAUUAUUUUCUGGCAGGGACAGGAUCAGUGUGGAGAACAAAGUGCACACAAAACACCCUUGUGACGACCGGAUUGGUUGUACAAAAUAUGCUCUGCUUGCACAAACACACACAGACAGGCACACAUAUGAUUACAAGCGGACAGGCAUGUUUCCACAGACACACAAAAAACAAAUUGGAGACAAACACAGGCGCAGAAAAAAACCCAACUUUUUCCCCUGGUUGUCUUGUUACACUGUGAAAGACAUUGAUUUGCUUAUUAAUGCAACAAAUGUUGUCUGCUUCCUGGCCAUUUUAAAAUAUGAUGUUUACAUGGGAUUUCACAUGUUGUUCCGCCGCUAUUAACAACUGCAGGACAAGAUAUGCCCAUACAGAGUCAUGCAUACGCUGUAUGUAUGCACAGCAACCAGCCAUCUAACAAUCACUCAGCACACUGCGGGUUUCUUCCUCCUAUUUGCUGCCAGCAAAUUGGAAGGUCUCCCAUACAUAUUUUCAUAUGCUGAUGGCCACAUUACUGGUGCAGGCAUCCCGCUGAAGUGAUUUGUGAUGCUCAUUUGAAAGUGAUAGGACGCAGGCAGCCACUGAACUCCUACUCAGCUGUGGCUGGAAUCAGGCUGUCUUUAUUGCUUUACAGCUAGCGCAGUAACCUGGGCACAUUGAUAAUGGGCUGUUGUGCUAACAGGCAGAUAACACAUCCAAUUCAUCAUGGACUUUGCAGGAUGUGUGUAUUGCUUGCUUUUAAGUAACAAAUACAGGACUGAAAUAAAGCCGGCUAUUUGUAAAGAGCCGUCCAUAAACGAACAAUGAAACCAUUAGAUGGUGCCGAGUUCGUUUUAACUACGGGUAACAGGCAUUUAAAAGCAACACACACACAGCUGUUACUGACAAAUGAUGUAGCACAUAAAGUCAUAAGUACUAUGUACAAAGUUGCUCAUUAUUCACUCUGAACUCUUUUUCUUAUCAAACUGUCACACUGUGUGGUUGUUAUACAAUGUGAUUACCUCCCUCUCUCUCUCUCCCCUCACCCCUGUAUCCCCCAUUCUCCAUGUCCCGCUCUCCUCCAUGAUUACCACACCGCCUCGAGCUAGUGAAUUUGAAUUGGGGCCGCCUAUUAUUUUCCCCCCAUGUGAUAGUAAUUAUUUACAAAUUUGUGAGUGUUCAUGUGAAAUACAGGAUGUUCUAUUAGAGGUUAUGUGUACCAGUGGGGGAAGGUGGCAAGGUCUUGAUUCUGAAUAUGCUAUUAGUGCAAUAAGAUUAAAACACGGCCACAGGUAGUUCAGCAGUCAGGCCGGACGAGCCCUUGAGACACAGUUAACCCAAUCAGAUUAAUAUUACAGAUUGUCAUGACCGCCUUUGUUUUCCAUUUGGGAGAGGUUGCAGCUCUCAGGGUUUGGACUUGGUGAAAGUGAUUACCCAGUGAAAACAAUAGGGUAGAAAGGGAGCGUUGCUUUUGGCGCUGCUGUAUUCAAUAACCAGGAGAACAGACCGGAUUCCCGCCCAUUAUAUUUCUUAAUUUGGCGAAUCUUCACGCAAAUUACUCAGGCUGGCCUCAUUUGGGUGGAAGUACAGAUUACAGAGAGAGGAUAUAAUUGCAGGAGACGUGGGGCCGCUCACUUGGAAAGUAGUCAGGUUGAUUGCACAGGAAGUAGUAUUAUUAACCAUGCAAAAGGGAGCUGCUGGUAUAUAGCACAAGUGCUUCUGCAGAAAUAAAACUAUCAAUCUCUGAUGAGGUGAUUUGGAAAAAUGUACUCUUCUCAGAAUACAGCUCGUCAAUAAUACUAUCACUUGAGUGUGCUAUCAUGAUCAGCACACAACUGAGAUUAGUGUUGAAUUACCACCCAAAUGCAGCUUGUGGCACCCAGCAGUUUAGCUCAUGGCCUGAAGCACGCCACAAGGCGUAUACAAACACGCACUCAAAGCUCGCUCAUCCUCUCAGUAUGAAAAACACACAAGGCGCAGGUACCCUGCAGAGACAACAUUUUAGUACAAAAGCCUUUGUUCUCAUCAAAUACUACAGAACGGGACAUUUUACAACAAAACAGUCUGUGGAAAAGAUUUCCUUCUGAGUUAGUCCCACUCUCAAUUUGUUAUUUUUAUCUACCUUGAACCAAAUUAGUUGUAUUAGUUGUACUUGUACCAGUUUUUAAUGUUGACCAAGUUCCUCCAAACUCAGUGUUUCUUAUUGACAGGAGCACCUGUUUAUACAUGUUGAUCAUACGCUUUUUAGCUGUUCAAACUUUUCUGAUGGGUGACGUGUGGAAAAAUGAGCAUUAAGCGAGAACAGGAGACAUUGUAAUCUAGUGGUAGUCAAUAAAAGCCAUUAUGUUUUAGUCAUUGUUUUUGGUUUUAACAUUUUCUGUGUUCAAACUAAUUAAAUCAGUCAAUCAGACAUUGGUAUCAAGGUUGAACUAGUGUUCAAAUCUGUAAUGAUUCACUCUAUGAACAUUUAGACUUGUGCGAUAUCUGGAUUCCUUACCUCAGUUAGAUGAUUUAACUCGGACUCUCCUGCCAGUUCAACGCUGCUGUGUUGUCCCUGCUAACAUGUAACAUAAAGGAUUGAUUCUCACUUCGCAUAAAACAUACUUUCUGUGGCUUUAAUGUAUUUAUUUGUUUUCUUUGACUUCCUCUUAUUUUUUGGGCCGGGCCCCUUAUGUCCUUUGGUCUAAGAAACGCCCCUGUCUCAGCCACUUUUUCAUCUUCAGUGAUUUGUUACUCAUCAUCAAGCUAGCUCUUCAUCAACAGGCAGCUUGAAAAGUUAAUAAAAUUAAGAAAGAAGUAUAAAGGCAGCAAGGAUUAGAGUGUACUUAUUGCAGACAAGUGACAAAUCAAACACUGCACCCCUCCACUAACUCACCGGCAAUUUCCACCGCAUCCAAAAUGGCGACGAAAAGGCUGCAUCCACCGAUUGUAGCUGAUCGUAACCAUUUAAGUUAAUGUGUCAAUUUCCACCGGCUUCGUUCUAUUCCGCUGCGGAUUGCCGGACUCCACAGCUGAUUGCAUGAGUUCCUUUUUUUCCGGACACCGGAGCAUGCUUGAUAAAUUCAGCACAGAUAAACCUGUGCUGGAAAGGAAGUCACGCACAGACAGAAAAUAAAACAUCCGACUUCUUUUCAAAAUAAAACACUCUGUGUAUUUCACACCAUGCAAACGGGCGGAGAUGAACAAGUGCAAGGUUUUCAGACAGCAUUUCACCCCAAUGACACCAUGAAUGAGGAGAUGCUGAUUUUUUAAGUCUUGAAGUAGAUUUCCUCCUCUGGAAGGACACAGUCUACUGCUUAAAUGGUUAGCCUAUGUAGCUAAAGACAACUUGGUUUUCACGUGAUUGCACGUGAAUCCACGGGAGCCAUUCGGAUGCGGUGGAAAUCCCAGGUCAGCUUGCUACAGGAAUAAAGUGCUCGUAUUUUAGAUGACAUAUUAGAUGCACAGUAAAAAAAAAACAAUGGAUUUUCAAUGCCAAAGUGUCCACCUUAGAGUUGUCUGCCUCUUCGCCUCUUACCAGGUAACUGAGUUAGGUAGCCAAGAUUGAGUCAGCGUUUUCAGACUACGAUUGCCUUUUUCUGGGCUUCAAAACUCCACUUCAGUAGCUGCUGAGUAAUGUUACCAUGUUUUACUCGACUAUGAUCUGAAGCAGGCUCCUUGACACUUGGACAAAUAAACAGCCUUUGAAAAUCAAAAAGCCCUAAAAAAAAAGGGGGGGAAAAAAAACACUUUUUACCCAAACAGAAGUUGUGAUUUCAUGCAGCGUACCCUCCUCUACUUUAACACCAUCUCUUUUACCGUCUGUGUUUCUCUGGUGUAUGUGUGCUGUGGCCAACACGCUGAAGGGUGUAGAAAGGGCCUACGUGAAGUCGAUUCAAUAUCAAACGUACUACACCUUGAAACAAAACAAAAAAGCACAGUGUUAUUGCCUGAAAACAUCCAAUAAUAGCCAAUUAGAUCAUCAAAAAGCCUAUUCCCCGCAAUACACCCUCGCACAAAUACACACAGCCAGGGCUCAGGGAAAAAAGGCAAAAGGAACCCUAGGGCUGUUAAACUUUAAAGCUCCUGCUUCAAAAACUACAUAAAAUAAAUGAUCUGACUAAAACCAUAACCCUGGGAGACCUCGCUCACUGCCUGAUAAUUGUCUUCUUUCAUGACACCAUCCAUCCAGAACAUUAGGCCCUGUGUUCUCAGGCCUGCUGGGUGCUGUUGCAAAUGAGGGAGGGGGGGGGGCUUCAGAAAGGCUGACCUCCACAGGGACCUCUACAGCCCCCUGCUUAUCGGGCCGUAGGGAUCUGAGCCUACAUAAACAAUUUCAAAGACAAGGCUAGAUUGCUGCAAACAGCCCAGUUACAAUGUUCGGGCCGGGAAAACACACAAAUUCUACCCAUACAUGAUUCAUCCGCACAUAAACACACAGACAAAUGCACACACACACGCUGGCUUUGGUUCUUACUCUUUUGGUUCCUCACUCUGUCUUUCUUUGAGGCAAUUGCUGCUUUCAAACAGGAUCCAUAAAAGAUGAAACAACCUUUGCACUCGUCUCCCUCUGAAGUUUAGAGACAUACCUGCAGCCAGUGUUAUUAGCUGCUGCUUGUAUUGAUAUGCACCAUGCCCAGUGCAGCGUGUUGGCGGGUGAAAACCACUAUGUGUUUCUCCCACGCCUCUUCCCUUUGGACAAACAUGCGCACUCUGGCCUCCAACCGCAGGAUUGUGUGGGAUAUGUACAUCUAAUUGGGUCUCAGAAUAACAGCGGAGAGGAGGAAGGGUUCAUCAAGUUCUAAAUCCAAGCUAAGCAGUCAAAGAAUUCAAAGAAACACACGUUUGAUUGAAUACACGUACAUAACAGAGAAGUGUUUGCAUCCACAGAGGGAUUUUAUAGAUAAAUAUAUACUCUGGAGUCCCUGUAUGAUGAUAAAUUCAAUCCAAACUGAUAUUCCACUGAGCAUUCAUCACAACAAGCACAACUCAAUUUGAGCAUGAGCCAAUUUCCUGCCUCCCAUUCAGAGCAAUGUGCUGUGGGGUUGUGCUAUUCAAAUCACAAUUGAAUUCAUCUUUCACAGCUUCAUCUAAUAGAGGCUUCUCUAGUCAAAUCCAACCCUGUUAAUUCGCUCAUCAAUACAGCAUAAGCACGCCUGCAGGGACAGACAGUGCAGUAACUUAACAGGGCCGAUUCUUUUUCAUCAGCGUGUCCCACAUUAUGUACCUGCGACGUUUAUUUGCUGUGCGGAUAGAAACAGUCAUCAAGCACAGCCAGGCAAAAAUAAAACACUCUCAGUUCUCCUUCUGAGGCCGAUUAUGCACCACAUUCAUUUUUGUUAGUGUGUCAGUGUGUGUGCGUGUCUGUGAGAGAGUGUCAUCCCUGCGGGUUUGCAGGCGUCAAUAACACUCUAUAAAUUCCUCCAACAUGCCCAUAAUAACUCACGAUAGGGUUCUCUGCCCUUUACUUCAAAGAUGUAUUUUUGUAUGUGAUUGCCGUCAGGAAGCAGUAAUAUCCAUGAGGCGUAGCUGCAGAAGUGAACAUCCUAAUGAUCUUGUUUAUUAGGCAAGUGAAUCUGUCACUGCAAAAUAAUAUGAUGCUUUACUCACAAGCGUCCUGUAAAUAAGGGUAAUUAGGUACUCUGUUCUCUUCAAAGCAAACAGCAGCCUUGCUGGAUUUACUGAUGUAUCUUUCACUGGCGGGUAAUCAUCACGGCAGAGUCUGGGAUCCGGGUGUCCGUGUAAAUGCCUGUAAACACCUGAGUAAACAAGAUUUAUAAAAGAGGACAGCUGGUGUGGUUUUUAUUCUCCACUGUGUCUCUACAUGUCGUUUAAUUAACUGAUUUAGAGGUACUUCUUUCAAAUAUGAGGUGCUUUUUAAAAAUGUACAACAGAAUAAGUGUUAUGUGAUUGACUAAACAAUUACAGUACGAUGUGGGAUGUAAGUAGUGCUACAGUAGACAAGACAACUGGGGAUUGGGGGGAUUUGUCCCUCUGUAUAUGACCGGGUACAGAGACCGGGUGGCCUGACUGCUGUUUGGUCUGCCAUGAGAGGUCAGAGUAAGCAGCAAGAAUGAAAGGGCAUCUGAAAGAAAUUCUUUAAGUUGGUUUAGUUGCAGUCUGCAAAAUAUAACAUUAUUGCAUCCCUCGCAAUGCGUAUAAAGCACCUGUCCUCUCAACUGAAAUUUGGUAUAAUUGCAGGGACAAUGGAAAGUAAGAAAAGGAAAGUUGGAGUGGAGAAAGACAUGAAUAGAAAGAGGAUAGCUCUUGUCAAAGCCAAUAUGAAAUAUAACAAAAUAGAUGACAGUAUUUGCCAGCUGAACUUAGCACAUAUCCGCCACGCUGUCGAUUAUCAAGGUUAAUUUUCCUAAAACUUUUAAGGCAGGGGUAGUCUCUUGAAGUUUCAACAGGUUUUUAACAUUAACGUAUAUUUUGUAAUUCGAUCUGAAAUAAAAGCUACAGGCGUGAAAGCAGCAACAGUUUCUAGGCUAUCUUUUUAUACUUAAACUACCUUUUAAGUGUUCGGUGUUGAGAUGCAGUUGUAGUAUGUAUUUUCUAUCAUUUCUUCAAAGUUACAGAUCAGAUUUAUUUUUAUAUUUAGAUCUUAAACCUUUUCGGCUAACAAAACAUAGAUACAUUACAUAUGAAAUGCGAAGGAAGCGGGUCGUAACAUAGCCCAAAUAGUUCAUUGUAACGUAAACACUGCCUCUGAUUGGGCAAUUAGCCAGGCACUGUUUGGGAAUAUAACCAAUCAGAGUCUAAGGGAGGACUGACCACUCCUGGUCAUCUCUUGGAUCCAAUGAGUUUCGGUUUCUGUCUCAAAUGAUCUUGGGUCUUUCAGUAGUAGUGAUAGUCAUGGUGGUGGGUCCUGAGACCAGACUAGAAGAGUCUCUAAUCUACAAAGCAGAGAGUGCUUUAGAGUGUUACUGUCUGUGAUUGAUAGGACGCUUCCACUGCCUCCUUACUGUACAACCUGAAAACAGAUGAAACAAAGUGCCAACCCUUUGUCCAUGUCUGGCUUUGACUGAAUAACAAAAUGGUGCAAUUUCCCAUGUAUGUAUUCAACUUAAGUACAUUUUUGUGACAAGGGGAACUCUCCUCGGUUAUCUUCUACUUUCUCCUGCUGAGGAAACAUUUCUGUGAAACAUUCCUCGAUCUAUGUUUUCUAGAGUUGCAUGCAUGUUGAACCUUUUGAACCAGUUUCUGUGUUUAAGGUUGAAAUGGCAGAAGAGUCAGAGAACUUUUUUUUCCCUUCGUAUCUUGUCUUUGACUUUUACAUCUUUCAAAGUCCUGAAAGUCCCGACAUUGAAGGAUAAAGCAGAACAUUUUCAGAGCAUUUAAGCCUCCGACAUUAAGUCAACUUGGGUCAUCAAUUCUGAAGUUAAGCAUGUUUACUGGAACUUUCUCACUCUAUCGAUCCAGAGCCAAAAGGGAAGUCUGCUUUCAGUUUAGUUAGAUCAAAUGUUUGUCCAAUAGAGUUGUGGAGGCCACGGGUUUUCCAAAGAGCAACAGAGAGGCUUGGUCUUGGUUUGUCUUUGAGAAGUGUCUUCCAACAAACCAUUUGACCCUGCAGAGGACGGCCACAGAGCAUCCAAACCCAACCGUUUUGUACACGUUAUAACUCAUUUAGAAAACAUAAAUAAAUGACAAAGCAUUUGUUACAGCUCAUAAAUCUUAAUGAAGGUGAUGGAUAACAAAGUGACUCCUAAAUUAACUAUAUUCAAUGUUUGCAAAGAGAUUCUGUUUACAAUUCGUGGCAGAUUUCCACCAUAUAAACACAAUACAAAAGCCUCCUGUGAAAAAAACUGAACAAGCUGAGGGUUUUGGACUGUGGCAUUGCCCAAUUGACAGGGAAAGCAUCCAUCUGUCCACAUGCAGCCUCAGUCUAUUUAUAAGGCUGCCAUUGACUGACAACUGCUCCUUGGGCGAACUAUGAAAGACCAGCGCAGGCUGCGAGGCUGCAUGUGUAGCUAUUGAUUAGCAGUCAGGAGAGUAUAAAACAUCUGGGAAACAGCGAGAUGAGGAGCAAUCAGGAAAGCUAGCUUUCCCUCAGGCCAUUUAUAGACCCAUUUGCCUUUAUCGCAAGAAAUAUUCGCCUCUUCUUCACCUUCAGGGGGAACUAUAAGUAACCCAUUGUGCAGAGAAGAUCUUCUGGAAGUCUGGGUGCACCCCUGGAGGCAUUGCUCCUCUUAGCGAGUAAAAUCCUUCCAGGGUCAAAGGUCAGAUGUGUGUAUAUGACAUGUUGUUAUUUUACAUGGCUGGAGAUGACCCCAGUGGGCCGUCAUGGGGAUUGUUGAGUUUUCCUGAAUGCAUUUUGUCCCAUUUAUAUUCAUAUUUAUCCCGUAACGCUACACUGCGCUCGGUAUUAGACUGAAGAUAAGACUGUAACGCUGAAUUAAAGGCUGUGAUUCAUCUGGAAAGUCAAGAGGUCACACAGAAACAUGUCAUAUACAUGCAGCAUGAUACACAUACAUAUGCAUACACAUCUGAAUUAAAAUGUAUUGAUUUUUGAUUGGAAGUGUUUAACUUUUAAUUAUGCUAGAUCAUUCCAGUGUGCAUAUUCAGCCAAAGAUCAUUCCACGGAUCAUUUUGUAAUUUUGUGCAAUCAACACAAUUGUGUUGUCAGAUUUGUGGAGAUUGAUCCAAAUCUGCAUAAAAUCAUUAUGUAACAUCAAACCAUUUACUUUAAUUCUGUGCCCAUGUGUUUGCUAUUAAGAGGAAAAAUAUGCGUUAUUCUUGGAUUAUUCUGUUUCUAAACCUGCAGCCCUCAUGUCUCACGCCUUAGCUGUGCUCAUGUUGGUGCAGGACUGGACAGUGCAGUUGCAGUUUCUUAUUUUGAGUGAUUUUACUCCACUCUGCUCUGGACCUCGCCUAAAUAAUUUGAUACACAUUGUGUUUGCUUUUUGUUGCAUAACUACUCAAUCUUGGUUCACAGUGAUGUACCUCCACUGAACCGUUUCAGACAAACAAAACAGAGGAGGGUUCUUUCUUGUACUUUUUCAGAGAAGGAAUGUUCACCAAAUGAUCUAUUUGUGAGGGUGGGGUCAGGGUUCACACUUUGCUUUUUCAAAAACAAAUGGGAAAUAUUUUCCCUAAAAGAUUUGGAUUUCGCACAUCCUGAAGAUACACUAAAGUAAAGAAUUGAAGCACCACGUUGGGGAAUAUAGAGGGUGACUGAUAGUAUCAUGUAGGUCAUAUUAUGGUCAAACAAAAACUAAGUAUAAAUCCAUUAAUCUCUUGAGGCUCUUUAUUUCACUUUCAGUUGUCCUUAUUUUGAAGCCAGUCAUUGUACUCUUUACAGUCAGCACUUGUAGUUCAUAAAGACACAAAUAAUAAAUAAUGACAGUAAACCAAAUUUAAAAAGCAACAUGUUUCCAAUCACAUAAGAAAACUCUUGAGUGAUAAAAAUAAACACUGUAUUCUUUUCCUGUUUUGCACAUAAAUCAUUGCAAAUUGUAAUUGCAUGACACAUUAGCAUAAAUGUAAUUUCAUAUUUAAAUUUGCAAAUAUUGUUAUUGCUGAUGGAAAUGUUCUUAUAUUCUUUCGUUCAUGUAAAUUUGCACAUGAAAACUGAACAUACUUUUUCUUCCAUUAGAUUUUGCAUAAUUACUCUUUUGUGCACCCACACUAAGAGCAGAGUGAUCGCACCGAGAAAGUGAUACACAAAUUUUGAAAGAACCAUUAACACAAAUGCAAGUGCAUGCUGUGUGUUAUUUGCAAAUAUCAUUAUUACACAUGAGCACUCAUUGCUGCACAUGGACUCUCAUACAUUAUUGCAAACAUUUUCUCACAUGAGUUUUGUACACAUAUAUUGUAUUAUUUCACAAAGCAUUACCGUACCUAUCAAAAAGUCUGUUGCAGCUCCUGUCUCUACUUGCAGAGUCCUUUGAAUCAAUAAAGUAAAACCAGUCUGCAUCAUGUGUAUUUAAAAAAAAAAACAGUGAAUUGGUUGCAGUGAUAAAGUGGUCAGUGAAUAUUGUAUUACUUGAAAAUAGGAAACGUCCAUCUCUGCCCUAAGUCAAUAUUUAAGUGCUCUUUAGCCAUUUUGGCACAUGUUGAUGUUCAUUGCAGCUGAGCGUUGGUUAAACAUUAUUUUACUUGCUGCUAUUCGCUCACAAGGUCACAGUUUGUAAGGCGAUACAGUUAAUUCUGUCAGGGAGGCCCUCUGCACUGAUAAUAUUUAUCCAACUUUGAAUGAAUAACUGGUUAUUGACAAAGCACUCUGGAUUUCAGCAAUUUCUGUCAGAGAGAAAAUGACUGGAAAGUUUUAGAACAAAAAAAAAAACAAUCAGUUUGAGUCUUAAAGCUACAGCUAUAGAUCCAAAUCAGGCUCAAGUGCUGUCCUGAACUCUUCACUGAUUUUUUAUUACUGCACACAGAGAGCUGCUGACCAUAUUUUAUGUAAAUCACAUUUCCAACAACCAAAAUGUUCCCUGAGGACAAAAAUCUGAAUUCACUCAGUCAGGUCCGACCUUUUGGCCUGGAAAGUUUGGGUUCAGACCAGAGCCUUAAAUUGAAUCUGCGCACCCACACUGAAAUCUCUGUGGAUUUGCAUCGGAGUACUUGUGCUAACCAUGUCCAUGAUUGAGGAAAAUAGAAGAAGAAAUUUUGUAAACCCCCUUCUAAAGUUUUGCUUUGAGUUUGUUUCAUUAAACAGGUAACAAAAAUUGAGCCAACUCUCUCUUGAUCAUGUGAUCUCUGCAAAAACUUGGCAUGAAGCUGUCCUUUAGUUUCCCACACACAUCCUCAGUGCUUGGAUAGUUUUGAUCACACACAAAAAAGCAUUUACUGCACUGUAUCUGCAUUUUUCCUGAUAAUUACUAAGAUAUUUAAACCAGAAGUUGUUUUGUCCUUUCACUCUAGAAAUGACAGACAACUGUUCUUCCUGAAGUGUUCCCUGUUUGCAGGCUGAGCGGUGCAGAGCACAUCUCCGUGGUGAUACCUCAAACAUGCUUUCCAGCACAAAUUGCCGGGCUGUUUGCUUUUUCAUUAACAUUCACCCUCUGUCUGACUCUGUACAGCUCCUUCUUCCAAAUUCCAAAUUCUCCUCCCAGAGACCUGCAGAGGACGCACGUCAGCACAGGUUUGUCUCUUUCUCUGCUCACCGAGAUGAGGUGCAUUAUGGGGAGGUUUGCCGUUAAACAAGUGUUGGAAAGAGAAAAAACCCUGUGGUUCUGGUACUGGCUUCAUAUUGAUAAUCCGUUUCCCCUAUAAAACUAAUCACAGCUUGGAUGAGCUGCCAAAAUUUUACAAGUGAACUGAAAGCUACAAUAGUUUCAUGGUUAUAUUGUGGCUGUACAAAGAGACGGACCUAAAUGUGCAAAGUUCAACAUCUUAAGUCCGACAUGUGGUUAGAUUUAGGCAACAAAAGCCCUUUGGUUUUAGGUUUAGAGGGAAAAAGUGUUUUUGUUCAAUGCAAAUACGGUUAAGACGUCCUCUUUGUGCCACAGUAAUACCAAUCUUACCAAACGUAGGGUCUUAAGAACUUUGUUUCGAUGUUCCUCUACAAAAAGACAGGCAACGUAGGAGUUUUAUACUAGUUAGGAAACAGACUGAAUCUCAUUCUGAUGCCUCUUUCUGACCUUGGAAAACAAACUAGACCGUUAGCAAUAAGGCUGAUGAUUUCUCUGUUGUCAUUUUUACAGACCAGCAAAAAAUGUCUAAUCGUUGCAGUCCUCUGUGUAUACCUAAAAUCUCACCUGCAUGUGCGUCUUUGGUUGUAAAACAGAUGUUUGAAUAUCUGUGCUUUUUUCUAGAUAGUAUAUGUUUAUUUCUUUGGACACAGGUCUUCCCCUCAAAGAAAUCCUGAUAAUCCAGGCUGCAAAUAUGUUUUCCACAAACUACACCAUCUGUUGCGUAUUAGUUAAUUUGUUUGCAGAGUUGACAGUCAAAGAUUUCUGAGUAUCUUGAGACUAAAUUAAGCAAAGAGGAGAGAAUAAUAUGACAACAGAAAGUCAUAAAAUCUUCUGAGGACAUAAUAAGAUUCGUAUUUUGAUGAAUCAUCGGCCUUGGCAGCAGAAAUCUGAAACAUCCUCGUUGCAGAUGUUGCAGUCUCAACUCAUUUUAUUGAAAUAACGCUAACUUUAUGAGCAUGUGCAGAUAAAACGCUUCAUAAAAAUUCAGUCGAAAAUAUUUUUUUUACUUCAGAAAGAAUGGAAGAAAUUAUGUGACAGCGUUAGCCGCAGCUAGACCAGGAAAUUGUGCCUAGAAAGAGCGAGUGUGGUUGUUUUCUCCUUUAUGCGAACAUGCUGUUGACAAAAUCGGUAUUCCCGCCCCUUCUUGAUUCUGAUUGGUUGAUGAUCACACAUAACACUGAUGGCUGCUGAGGUGUUCCAAGAGCUGAACUAUUUCUGACAAAAAGACAGAAAUAGUUCAGUCUAGAUGGAGACCAACUAUCAAGGCUGAUAUUGGCAAAUAAUUGAUUAUCUGUAUCAGCAUUUCUUCUUACAUGAAACUAGUGAAUUAAAAAAGUGCGUUACUUUGGCUCUAAUACCCGUGUGUGUCUCUCUCUGGGUCUGUUUUCUUGCACCACUUUGUCCCAUCCAGUGCCCCGCCCACUACACUAUCUGAUUGGCUACCUGUAUGUGAAUUUGGAUAUAAUGUAGAACCUUUCAGUUUGGUUAAAUAUUAAAGAAUAAAAGUAUUCCAGAAAAAGUCAGAGUUUGAAAGUUUUUAGUAUUUUACUAUAAAUUCAUAUCAGUUUCAAAUAUUGGUUAUUAGAUCUACAAAUAUUCAGUAUUGGUAUCAGCCUUGAAAAACCAGUAUUGGUGGACUGUUUGGCAUCAUCAGUCUUUUGAGUUUUACUUUUACAUGAGGAAACUGAGGGUAGAUGGCAUAUUAUCUUAAACCCCCACUUGGAGCCUGCAGGUGGAUGCUUGGGUGGUGGUGGGGCUGAAAGUUUGAGUACACAGCAAUGGUGGGAGAAAAGAGGGAAAUCUUGCAGCUUGAAAAGACCGCCGAAUAAAGAGGAUGUAUUUGUCAUGUAACUGUGGAAACAGUCAAGUGUGGAAUCAGAGCAGCUUGAGCUCACAGGCCAUUCAGAUUUCAAGAAGGCCCCCCGCCCCCCUUCUGGACACACCCUUAUCACACAGACACAUCCUUGGUCCUGAGUCAGUACAGACAUCACUCAACAAGGUGCAAAGUCUCUUCAAAAAUAUUGCAGAGCUAAUUCUCUGUCAGGCAGAUGUGUCUUUUUAUCCCUGAGCCACAUCAAAACAAAAUUCCUCUGAGUGAUCACCGAGGAGAGCGCUGAGAACGAGGACUCUUUGGUGACAUUUGCUCCAUAUUAGUUCAGAUAAGCAUAAAACCGCUCUGGGUGACUGUGUGUGACGGACAGAAUAAAGCUGCAAUGUUCUGAUGAUGAAGAUGAUGAUGAGAUUAAAGAGACAUCUGUCCAGUUCUGGUUGGGAAAUCCAUCAUAAUAUAAUGUUACUUUGGGGCACUUGUAUCACUGCAGACCACCUGCAAGCGUGUAUUUCAGGUGGAUUCUGCUGUGUUAAAGUUGUCUGUCUGCUGGAACGGUUUGCAAACACUAUGUGCUGACAUCUGUUUCAAUUUCUUGACAUAGUUAUAUUUGCCUUUUCAUUUAGACGACUAUCGGUGUAAAAAUGAACCCAAACUGUAUCAACCAUGUAGCAGGGUGCACGGAGAUGCCUGCAGCUCAGAUACACAAGAACUAAAACUGCUUUUUGCCUCAGAUUAUUGAUCACAUUAAUAUGCAAUGAUUAUUUACUCAGGGUGAAUUUGUUGUCUUAAUAGCGGUUUGAAGCCGUGUAAUUAAAAAACGCUUUGAAGAAGACUCCGGUAAAGAGAUUUGACGUUUUAAGGAACAGAUUUUUUGAAAACAGCUCUAAGUGAAGUGUUUGUUACUCCACACUUCAAUGGAGGACAUUUCACAUUGAAUUACGGUUUUAAGCAGCUGCUGGAUGUUUAUUUGUUCCAUAUUCACCAUGUUGUCACAGAGAAAAGAAUAAAGACAAUGAUGCAUCAUUUAUCAGGGAGUUUGUAUUUUCUAUAAAAGCGCGCAGUCUUGAGAUGAAGUCAUGUGACAGCAGACUUCUCAGAAACUUGGGGCAGUUCAAAGAGUGUUUGUGAACAUGAGCAGUGACAAUAAAAGGAAAGACUCUGAUGUCUAAUGUCAUCACAUUGUCUGAAGCACGUCCUUGAAUCCGCGUUAAAGAGAGACUUAGUAUGCUGAUCUGUAUUUCAAUACACAGAGAUAACUUUACAGUGUUGGAAGCCCUUACUAACCAUACACAAAUGUUCAAACAUGAGACACACAGAUGGUGGUGAAAUCCCCUCUUUCUCUGACCAGCUUGUUUUAAUAACUAAACAGGACUUGGACAGAACCCGACAUCAGGCCAAGAGUGUCCUGAAAAAUCACCCAUAAGUGUUUUUUUGGAAGAGAGUCACACCUUCUUUCUCUUCCCAAAGACAAAGUUUUUAAUUUUACUGAACAACAGCCACAACAUUGCUGUUUGUGUACGUCACCUUACUGACGACUCCCUUUGAUGCCAGAAGAGGCUGGAUUAGCAUCUUAACGGUGACAUCUAUAAAGACCUGCCUUAAAGGGAUAUUCCGGCGUAAAGUUAAUUUAGAGUCAAACACACCAUAACACCGAGUUAGAUACUCCCCCAAGAGAUGAAUGUUGCUAACCGCUUGCUUUUCUAGUUAUACCAACUUUGGUAACGACCACACAAUAGCACAAUAGCACAACUGUUAGAAUAAUGUGCAUAAAUGUAUAUAGAAGUUAUCAUUAUUCCUCAUAUUCUUAUGUAAGAGUUUACUACAAGUAUAAACUGUUUUGACCUCUUGUUACACAUCAUAUAAGAGUGUUUUCUAACUUCUCUCUCCAAUAGCUUAAUUACACAGCACAUGAAUGUUUCUUAACUUCUCUGUGAACUCGUUUCUCCUAUCAGCAGGUGUGUGUGUGUGUGGGUGAUGUAUCCUCCACUGUGAAUCGUGGGAAGUUUUGAGGAGGAUACGCUCUUAUCAGAAGGAGCUCGUUAGAUGCAACAAUUUGCCUUGACCUUCACAUAUUCACAGUUGUUCAUUAUUAUGUUUUAUGAGAGUGCUUACGUUGCUGCACAUAUUUUUCCCCCACCCUUUAGAAACAUUGUGUAACCAGGGACAACUCUAAAUAAAGAGACUGGGCGGAAAUACCUUUCAGAGUGGUUGCGAGAUGGUACCUGAUGCUAUCUCUGUCCAUUCUCCUCGAGUAUAUACCAUUGUCUUUCUCUUCUUUAUAUGUUAUCAGGUAAAUGUUGCAGGUUUAGACCCAACAACAACACAGCGGUCUGAGGAGCCACACACAAACCUCAGCCAAAACGCCACUCUAUAGCCACAAAUAAUGCUCAGAACAGCACCUAACUUCAUCAACAGUACAUAUAGGGUCCCAGCCAUGGCACUAGCCACCAAACAUCGUUUUAACUUUCCCUUAUUUCUUUAGCAAAGAGACUAAACACAACUCACCUACUGUCUUCCAGCAGCCGCUUGUUUGUAGCAAGACCUCUGGGUGAGUUCAUUACGGACUACAGCGGGGGGACGCAGCUCAAGGAGGAACAUUUAUGAUCAUUACUUUAUCAUUUAAAGUAAUAAUCAUCAUAUUAAUCGUUUUUCUCUGCAGACGCGGUAGUUCUUCUGCCUUAGCAUCUCAGUCUGAUUGCAUUUCCAUAAAGAAAUGGAACCGUGUGUUUGACCCUAAAUUAACUUUAUGCUGGAAUAUCCCUUUAAAGGCUCAGAGCCACAAUCUAGAAGUAAAAUCAGGAUGUUUUGUCCGCACGUGAUGCAAAAGAGUUUUUUGUGCAGUUAAGUAUUCAGUCAACACUGAGGCAUGAUAAAAGGCAAGUUUUAGCGUCUUAUAUGUGUGAGUGAUACGUUCGACGUACUUCUCACUUUUAUUCACUUAUCGGCAAAAGUUGAAAAUUCUUAACUCCAUCGAUUCACUCACAAAUCAUCAUGGAGACAUAUGUCAAGAACUAAUUAGUGGAGGUUAAUUUAUCUGUAAAAUGGAGGACAAACUAACUGAAUUUAACUAUGUUCGACUAUAAUAACGUUUAAGAAAACCCUUCUUCCUCUGCAUAAAUUAAAAUCUUCCGGGGGUCACAUGGCAUGUACGGCACAAGUUAUUCAUGCAAAUUCAACAAGUUAACACUCCCCCUUGCAGGAGAUUAAAGUUAAUCUCUUACUCUUAUUGUUAAACUUGCUCACAAUUUAAAUAGCACAUCAUCAGCUACACUACAUUACAAUAAAGAAAGGGCAGCAUAUCAAGAACACACACAUUUAUUUAUCUCAGUGAAUUUGAUCUUUUGUUUCUGUUUAAACUAAGCGUAAAGUUGACUUUACCACUCCUACACAUCUUCUAUCUGUUCCUGUUCCUGACUCUUUAUCCUUCCUUUUAAUACAGAGAGAGGAAGAGGGAAAGCAACAGAAAGAGAGGGGGAAAAAAAGAGCAGAACCAGGAAGUGCUCGGGUCAGAAAUCCUCUGAGCCCACUGGAUGGAGCUGCAACGACACUCGACAGCAGCAGCAGCAGAACCCACUGACGCCAGAACUGAGCAGAAAAUUAAAUCACAGACCAUAAUAUUCAGGUCAAACAUGACCCCAACUCUGUAGAUAUCACAUAUCUUUUACUACAUCUGUCAUUAAAGUCACUGCAGCUUUAGUAAACGAGGACUGAAUCAUGCAUUUAUGUGAAAAAUAAGUGUGUGACUGGAAUUGAUUACAUCAAAAUAAACUUCAAUUACUCCUAAAUUUACGUUUUAUGUUUAUUCUGAGGCAAUGUUUUCAGAUGGAGCUGAUAAAUUAAGUAAUAGCCCCACAUUUGGGGCACAUUACACAGCAAAUAAGACAUAAAAUAUUGUGUUUUUACGAGAUAACUUACCCAGAUCUUAAAUAAACUUCUAAUGAUAGAAACAUAAACGGCUGAACGGAAUGUGAACUUAACGCUCUGCUUUCUUUUCCCAAUUUUCUAUGUUUAAAUUCUUGACACUUUCCACCUUAAGUGCUUAAAAAAAAAAGGAAAGAAAGACAAAGUGUUGACCCAGACUUAAAAUGUUAGUUUUAAUAUAGUCCUGCACUGCUGAUGACUCCAGAUACAUUUAUGAGCGUUAGCCAACAAAGCGAACUCGAGUCUAGCCCAAACAAACGCAGGGAUGAAAGGCGGCCUUUGAUCCUCAGCCGACCGGAGUGACUUCAGCACUCUGGGCUCGAUUGUUUUCAGCUGAGGUUUCUCUGGGUGGCUUCACUUCAAGCUACAACUGAAACUGCCGGAACAGGAUUUACUCUGGAUUUAAGAACCACAAAGUUGGCUCACUAGAAAAAAAAACUCUCUCAGUUUAACCAAACAGGCGCUUACUUUCAGAGCAGGCCCUCCAGUUAUUGUGAUACAAAUCGACUGAAAAAACUCCACAUCUCUGUGCUAAAUAUUCCUCUUCUCAGGCCAUGUGGUUUUUUCACACCAGCACAGCUCACGACAGCUCACAUUCCGUCUGAUCAUAGUUGUGUGUGACAUUUCAAAGCGGAUUACAAGAAUGAAAUGUGAUAAAAACUAUUUCCACGUGACCCCUGAGCACUUAACCUCUGAAAGGCUAGUGCAGAGUAGCACCAGGGCAUAGACUUCUUUCUGGGAGUCCAGAGUCGUGCAGAGAUCGGUGUAGGGAUUAUUAGCAGACAUGUUCAUCACACCACACAGAGAGAAAGAUCUAAUGUGCUGCAUUUUCCAAGGAGUACAAUCUUUACUUAAGAGGAUGAAAGUGUGCCGGCACCUCAAGUUAAUACAAGUAAAAGCUGUUGUGUUGCGGAGACAGUUUUAAGGAAAUCAGAAAAAUUUACAACUUCAAGUGAACAAGUCAAAAAACAGGCAGGAACUUCACUUCACAGGUCAAGAGGGUCACAAAACUGUAAGUAGGUGAAAUAUAGGAGCUCAGGUGGAUAAAAACUGAAAGCUAAUGGGUUAAUAUGACACAAAAGCAGACAUAUCUGGAGUUUUAGAGAAAAGGGAAGAUUGAAAAACUCCAAGCAAGAAAACAUAUUUUAAAUUUGGAGCAUCUCAAAGCUCUCUAAUAACUUGAUUUAAAACUUUAAACUUAUCAAUCGUGAAUCUGGAUUCAGAUCAAUUUUAGGAAUCAGACUGAAAGAAAAACUUGAAAACUAUCCAGUCAACUUUAAAUUCAGCCAUUCAUAGCUUCACAUUUAAGGAGCAGAAGGAAUCACAAAAAAUCAAGCUAAUUAUUUGAUAGGACAGAAAAAUAGAAUAAAUAAAGGUUAAGGAUUUGAAUGAAGCUGAUUGGCUAAUAAAACCAAGCAUAGUUUGAAUUAUGGAGAAUAAAGACAGUCCAAAAAAAUCUAAAUCAAAUCAAUCAGAUGACCUAACAUUAUUCAGUGUUUGGGGUUGUUUGUCAAGAAAUGGUUUAAAUUGAAGAGAAAUAGAGAAAUGGUUAUUUGUCCAUGAAAACAGACAUCAUGUGAGUUCAGCCCUUAAUUGGUUUUUAUAUCCUCAGGGAAACAAAAAGUUGACAAGCUGUGUGGUUGGAUCAAGUACUUAGGUCAUGUGACUUCUUGCCAAAAGUCAAAAAUUUACGCAAAGUUUGUCUUAAAACCAAAAAUGUUAGCAUGCAGGGUCAAAAAUAUGCAUUAUGAAGCAAUGUGUCAUCAUUUUGUUUUACAUUUUUCAUAUCUUGGGGAGAUUUUGUUUUUAAAAAUGUUUCUUCAGAGGUGAUUUUUUUUUGUUCUGGUUAAAAACAUCAAAUAUGACUUUUUAUAACUUUGAAAAUCAGGUGUUCAAUAUUUUUAUCCAGGGGGAUUCAUUGCCUAGAUAAAGAUAUAAAUCAAGGAAAUUUACCAACAAGAAUGAAUUUCUUUUUUAUUGCCUAUAAUCACUCAAUGACAUUAAGCUAUGAAAUACUGAUAACUUAAUUAUACUCUAAAAUAUGUGACUGAUAAAUGUAAAUACACACGUGCACAUACAGGAGGGUUAAUGUAAAAUUAUAGAACGUUGGGUGAAAUGUUAAAGUUAUAACCUAAAUAAACAACCUGGAAGAUAAAGAGCAACUUGUAUUUGGAAAACCAUCAUGAAAAUGUUCUUUUUUUUCAUCUGUGAAACAUGAGAAAAUAAGAGUUAAUACAUUUUCUGAAAUAGUCAUAUGUGCUUGUGUCAAAAAAUUUGACUUCAUAUAGAUUUUGGAGGAAUCAGGAAUAUACAAAGACUUUGUUAAGUUUGUCAGUUAUGAAAAAACUGUAAAAAUAAUUUAUCGUUAGGGAUGAAUGAAAAGAUAUCUAAAUCUGCACCUGAGAUUAAAAAACUCAAAAGCUAAUCCAUUUACCGGUCAAAAACAGGUGUCAUUUUCAUUUUGAGGGGAACCAGGUUUAAUCUGUUGUUAAGAUGUUUCAAUAAUUUCAAAGAAUCAGGAGAACGUCUUCUUAGAGGUAAAAACAAUGACUGAAAAUGCUAAUCCGCUAAUUGUCAGUAAAACCAGACGUAAUUUAAACUGUAUAAAAUUCAGAUCCAGGAGUGAGUAUUGAAAACAGGCUUUUCAAAAAAAGGAUAGAGAAUAUUCAGCCUAUCAGGUAUGAAUAAGGCUAAUAAAUCUAUUAACAUGAAAUACCUGAAUGAUAUUAAAUAUAAACUAAACUAUGUAUGUACAUGGACUGUCUCCACAUGCUGUUAAUAACAUGUGCAGGAGAUAACGUCACUUUAAAUCCACCCUGACCUUCUUCUUUUUCUUUGUCGGGCAUUCACAUAAAGUUUACGAUAAGGUGAACAUGUCUUAUUGUGCAGAGUUCCCACAGACCCAGAUAUAAUUCAAAGUUUUAGAGGAAAAACUGAUAAAGCUAAUCAAACACAAACCCGGCAUAACUUAACUUGGAGGGAAUUAGAACGAUGAAAAAAGGACAAAGCUUAUCAGCCAGUCAGUAAUAAAACCAGACACUAUUCCAUCCAAGAUCCUGAACCUUUAUUGUGCUUUUGUACGCAGUUUCCUGCAUGUUUUGUUUAGUCUGUUAUCUGAACCCUGAGUCUGUAAUAAAGUUUGAUUUGCACUGAAAAACAUCAAGCAUGGCCAUCCAUUAAACCUUAUAAUGUAUCA